ensembl:lncRNA
UCACUUUACAGAGGGAGCCAGCCUGCUCAGGCUGCCGAGGUUUUGCAGCUCUCACAGGACACUGAAAAAUCCAGCAAUCAGACCUGUGCAGCCGGAAUGCUUCCACAGGAGAUGGCAGUGCACAGAAACAGCGCAUUAUCUAAAAACAGCCUCGCACAAUAUGUUUCUAUGGACAUCAGAAACCAAUCUUUGAAACGGUCCCCGAUGAGGGCCAUGCUGGCCCGAGCUGCAUUCUGAAAGUGUUCCAAUUCCUCCUUUGUAUCCGGCCUGUGUUUAUGGGAGAAAGAGGAUCCUUUACUUCAAAGGGGACAAAAGGAAGAAGAAAUGAGAGCAACCGAACAUGGCCUUCAUGUGGAUCAGCUCCUAGUAACAGAAGCAAUGUGGGAUUGCUGAACUGUCAGUGGCCUAAGCAACAACACUAGCUCAUAGAAAAACUCUUGAGUCGUAUAGUGGAAAAUAAAUACAAAAACUGCUAAGAUGCUGUCAAUGAGCAGGAGCAGAGCUUUUGUUUAGACAGAGAAGGGAACUGCAGAGAAAACCAGCUUUUUUAACCUGAAUAUGCAGCGCUUCUUGCACAUGGAGAGGGGAAGCAGAGACUGGGAACAAGUCUGAAGUGGAGCCACACAAUGCCUGGUGUCAAAGCAAGAAGUGGGGUGGAUCUCCGCAAAAAGCGAGACCUGAGCUGAUGACAGAGCCUCUGACAAGAAAGGUAGCAAAGAAAUCACAGAAAUAUUCAGAGGAACUUCUAGCUUGCACAAAUUCACAGGAAAGAUCAACUGUCCAUUGGCAAAAGUAUAUAUAAUUAUGGCACUAAAAUGAAGUUGUUUUAAUCUUCACAAUAAUUAUCAACAUGUACAGCAGCUACUAUAAGAAAAAUAAUUGCUAACAUAAGAAAGGAACAGCUUGUUCACUUUUUUUUUUUUUUUCCUCUUGAAUAACAUUUUGCUAUUUGCCUGUUGCCCAAAAACUUGUUUGGGAUCAUUAAAUAUAUAAGGGGAUCAGAUAUCUAUAUUUUACCUUUAUGUCAAAUAUUUACAUGUCAUACGUAGGACCUCACCAAGGAGUUGUUGUGAUUAGUUGCCAAGAAGCAUCAAGAAUCAAAUACAAUUGUUAAUGUUUAAGGGUUUUCCUGUUUAUUUCUACAAACAUACAGGAUAAACACUGUCAGCUCAAAGUAAACUAUAGAGUACACUUCUUUUUUUUCCAAAACUAAUACCCUAUAAAAGCCUCAAAUAGUUGAAAACUACAUUUAAACCAAUUCAUUGUGGUGACUAGUACCAUGUGUGAAGACUCAAAGAAGUUUCACAACCCAAAGACUCUGCUAACUAGUUAAAAUUAUCAUUAAAAAGUUACCCAUGGUUUUGACCUAAGAUGAUGAAGAUCAUCCUAAAACACAUCAAGAAAAGUUGUCAACAUUUGGGUCUGAUCAACGUAAAUAAAACAGAUACAGGAUAUAUUUUUAAGAAGCAAGACCUUCAGUUUAUAUUAAAUAAAAAAAGGAAAGAAAGGAAAGCAACACGUGUACAGUAUCAUAAAAUCUAAGCCAUCGCACCAGGGAUUAAAUUUUGAGUGACAUUCAAAAGAUUUUCAUUAAAGCAUCCAUUUGUUUCAGUCAUUUGAGAACUAUUUAGUCACUUAACUCUCCCAGCUGAAUUUUUUUUGAAUGCCAAUUGACAGAGGAAAUUCAUUCCAACUAAAGAUAAAUCCCUAAUUUCUCUGCCAAGAGUUUUCUUGCCAUCGACAAUUAUUGGUCUAGAGGGGACUUUUUCCUUCUUCUGGAAAUUCAGCUCCUUCUAAGAAACCUAUGUAAAAUUAAGUACUUCAUUAAACUGACAAUCUG